UCAGGACGUCGCAGUGGCCC
rnacentral:misc_RNA from 1 species